AUGACCUACGACCCUGGUUGUCUACACCAGAGACAAUAACCAGCUGUCCACUUGGAUUAGAGUAUUUGCAUCAUUAUUUUAUUCUCUAGUCCUCAGAAAAUUUGAAACUAGUAAAACGUAUGAAAUCUUGAACAAUCAAGGACAGAGAAUUUAUUUUGCAGAAGAGAGAAAUAAUUGCUUCCUUCGACACCUUUGUGGAUUUUCAAGCCCUUUUACUAUGACAAUUUAUGAUAAUGUAGGUAGAGAUGUACUUGCUCUGCAUAAGGCUCUGAAAUGUAGCUUACAAAAGGUAAGAGCUAAAAGUUGAAGCUCCACCAGGUGAAACAAUUGGAUAUGUUUAUCGAUACUUUCACCCAUUCUUGCCAAAGUUCAAAAUAAAAAAUGAGAAUAAGGAGGACGUAAUGAAAAUUAUAGGCCCAUGGUUGGUCUUCAGCUGUCUUGGGGAUCUAAAUUUUAAUGUAACUCUGGAUGAGGAAAUGGUUAUUGGAAAGAUUUCAAAACAGUACUCUGGAUUUGUAAGGGGAAUAUUAACCAAUGGUGAGAAAUUUGGGAUCCAGUUUCCAUUUGAUCUUGAUGUUAAAAUUAAAGCAUUGAUGCUUGGAGCAACUUUCCUCAUUGUGAGUCUAUUUUUACUCUA
rnacentral:lncRNA from 10 species